rnacentral:rRNA from 1 species
UGCGAGUCAUAUGUUCUUCGUGAACAUGGCGUACUGCUCAGUAACACGUGGAUAACCUGCCCUUGGGACCGGGAUAACCCCGGGAAACUGGGGAUAAUACCGGAUAACGCAUAUCUGCUGGAAUGCUUUAUGCGUAAAAUGGAUUUGUCUGCCCAAGGAUGGGUCUGCGGCCUAUCAGGUAGUAGUGGGUGUAAUGUACCUACUAGCCUACGACGGGUACGGGUUGUGAGAGCAAGAGCCCGGAGAUGGAUUCUGAGACAUGAAUCCAGGCCCUACGGGGCGCAGCAGGCGCGAAAACUUUACAAUGCGGGAAACCGUGAUAAGGGGACACCGAGUGCCAGCAUCAUAUGUUGGCUGUCCGGAUGUGUAAAAUACAUCUGUUAGCAAGGGCCGGGCAAGACCGGUGCCAGCCGCCGCGGUAACACCGGCGGCCCGAGUGGUGAUCGUGAUUAUUGGGUCUAAAGGGUCCGUAGCCGGUUUGGUCAGUCCUCCGGGAAAUCUGACGGCUCAACCGUUAGGCUUUCGGUGGAUACUGCCAGACUUGGAACCGGGAGAGGUAAGAGGUACUACAGGGGUAGGAGUGAAAUCUUGUAAUCCCUGUGAGACCACCUGUGGCGAA